rnacentral:rRNA from 1 species
AUGGCUGGGUACAACGAGUCGCAAGCCGGUGGACGGCAAGCUAAUCUCUGAAAGCCAGUCUCAGUUCGGAUUGUAGGCUGCAACUCGCCUACAUGAAGUCGGAAUCGCUAGUAAUCGCGGAUCAGCACGCCGCGGGUGAAUACGUUCCCGGGCCUUGUACACACCGCCCGUCACACCACGAGAGUUUGUAACACCCGAAGUCGGUGAGGUUACCGUAAGGAGCCAGCCGCCUAAGGUGGGAUAGAUGAUUGGGGUGAAGUCGUAACAAGGGUAGCCGUAUCGGAAGGUGCGGUUGGAUCACCU